UUGUCUUCUUACUCUUGGUCUUUCGAGGUUCGCUUUGCUAGCUUCCGCAUUUACACCUGCUUAUUUCAGACCAGAUGAUUCGACUGUCUUGGUCAGCCUUGCUUGUGGAAGUCUUUCAGGUGUUGCGUCAUCAAAAGGUAUUUGAAUGUAGAUGUCGAUGCAUGGAGCUGUCUCAUGGCUUUUGAUGCAAAGAGGUUAGGCUGCUGGCUUCUCACUAAGUUUCUAACUGGACCGACUCUUAGAGCCUGAGAUUGAGCACUUUUAUCUGGCAUUUGAAUUUAUUGGCUCCACCAUGGUGGAUCUUUGCACGGGAGCCAUAUGUAUUUGCAGUAAUCAAAGUGUGAGAGGCUUCCUCAUUGAGUAACAUUUCCUUUGGAUCUUGUGAGGCGCCGAAUACAAUUGGAAGGAGCAGGUGGUCGGGCCCAUGUUUAUAAGACUGGUUUGUUUGGUACAUUCAGUCAUAUUAUCCGGACAGAGGGCCUACGUGGUUUAUACAGAGGAAUUUUGCCUGAAUAUUACAAGGUUGUGCCUAGUAUUGGUAUUGUCUUUAUGACGUAUAAGAAAAUGAAGCAGCUUCUCUCAGAUAUUGACUGAUGCAUUGGCGCUUGACAUACUUGGAGAGUAAAACUAACAAAUACAAGGUGCUGCAGUAUUAUAUACCAGGAGAAUCUGGAAUUCUUUGGAAAUAUCUGCUUGUCGAUGUAAAUUCACACAUUCAUGAUGUAUAGACUGUCAAAAAAAGCCACAGGUUUAGUAACCAUGAUUCCUUUUGGGGUCUUGAUGAGGCUAUGCUCUGAGCCUGAAGUUUCAUGUUGCAAAAGUAUCCGCAAAAACCAAGUAUUUGCGUUCUAUUACUUGUAUGAUUCUUUUUGGUGUCUUUGGUAAACCUAUGCUCUGAGCCUGAAGUUCAUGUUCUGGUCAUUUAUAACAAAAUUACCUCAUCAUUAGAAAAAGGGGGUGUAUAUGGAUUGGGUUGGCUUGGAAUUUUCAAAUGC